rnacentral:rRNA from 1 species
AGAGUUUGAUCCUGGCUCAGAUUGAACGCUGGCGGCAUGCCUUACACAUGCAAGUCGAACGGCAGCAUGAUCUAGCUUGCUAGAUUGAUGGCGAGUGGCGAACGGGUGAGUAAUACAUCGGAACGUGCCCUGUAGUGGGGGAUAACUAGUCGAAAGAUUAGCUAAUACCGCAUACGACCUGAGGGUGAAAGUGGGGGACCGCAAGGCCUCAUGCUAUAGGAGCGGCCGAUGUCUGAUUAGCUAGUUGGUGAGGUAAAGGCUCACCAAGGCGACGAUCAGUAGCUGGUCUGAGAGGACGAUCAGCCACACUGGGACUGAGACACGGCCCAGACUCCUACGGGAGGCAGCAGUGGGGAAUUUUGGACAAUGGGGGCAACCCUGAUCCAGCAAUGCCGCGUGUGUGAAGAAGGCCUUCGGGUUGUAAAGCACUUUUGUCCGGAAAGAAAUCGCACUUACUAAUAUUAGGUGUGGAUGACGGUACCGGAAGAAUAAGGACCGGCUAACUACGUGCCAGCAGCCGCGGUAAUACGUAGGGUCCAAGCGUUAAUCGGAAUUACUGGGCGUAAAGCGUGCGCAGGCGGUUGUGCAAGACCGAUGUGAAAUCCCCGGGCUUAACCUGGGAAUUGCAUUGGUGACUGCACGGCUAGAGUGUGUCAGAGGGGGGUAGAAUUCCACGUGUAGCAGUGAAAUGCGUAGAGAUGUGGAGGAAUACCGAUGGCGAAGGCAGCCCCCUGAGAUAACACUGACGCUCAUGCACGAAAGCGUGGGGAGCAAACAGGAUUAGAUACCCCGGUAGUCC